GAAGCAAAGACUUCAGUCCAGAAGUUGACUAAUGAAGGCAUUUAUAUUGAAUCCUUAAGUGAAGAGGACAAGAAGUGUUAAGUGUUAUGACAUCUGAAAAAGUACAGAGACUUGAUUCUUAAAUCUACAACAGCGACUUCUAGAUUCUACUCAACCUCUAUGUAGCUUUUACAGAUCCCUGUCUUAUAAAACACCGACAGUUGAGUGGAGUGAGGCACUACCAACAAUGUGGCUGCCAUGUGCUCAGAACAGAAUAGAGAAUUUGAACACAGAGUGGAAUAUCAUAUGAUGAAUGAAUGAAGAUUUGACUUCAAGUUCUUUUUUAUCAUCAGUAGUGGCUCGACCCAAUCUUUGUGCUAUGUUUCCUGGACUGAAAGAAGUAGUAAUUCAUCUCUUGCUACUCCCAGAAUGAUGUAGGCAGAGU